UCCACUGCUAGUGAGGCCCUCUCCUUCCCACAGUUCCCCUUUUAACAAGGUGAGUGCCCCCCUUCUUUCCCCAGUCCUUAUCCUACUGUAAGACUUACAGAAACUUCCCUUGUUUGGUCCUGUCCACGCUAAUUAAAAUGGGAAAUGUUAAAAUCCAUCCAAGUAAGAGAUAAGACACACACAAAGAAGGAUUCCAAAUGAGUAGUAAAAUGAACUCAGAUAUCGAGAAUGUGUGGGGAAAACUGAGUGCUGGACACACACGUGGGAGAAUUCCAGUGAGGGACAGACACAAGCGUGCCACCAAGAGAACCUGGGCAUCAGAGAUCAGACAGGCCCUGACUGUGAGAAGUUUGGCUUUUCAGAAAUGUCCACUGUCCACUCGUCAAACAACCACAAGCCACUCAUGUACCCGAUGCCAGGCGCCCGGUGAAAGGGAGACCCUAGGCUGACUCCGUGACAUGGCUACUGAACAGUGCCAGGGGAAGCAGCUGUGUUGUUUGCAAAUGUCUCUGGUGUGUGGUGACUUUGAUGUCUUCAGGUGUGUAUACCCCAGAGUGGUUUGGCUAGACCAUAUGGAGAUGCUAUUUUUACUUUUUUUUUUUUUUUGAGAAAAGUUAUUUCUAUAGCUGGAGCUAUAGAACUUUUAUAACACUCUCUCAAGACAAGAUGCUCAAAGACAGGCUUUGUGCUGGAUGUAAAUUCACACAGCACCAGAGCCAUAAGUCACAGAUCUUCCCUACCAGGUCAGAUGAAUCUCAAAGCUGUUUGCUAUUUCAAUAUUGGAAAAACUUUUGUAGGUUACAUUUUUUAAAAGUCUAUAAAAUGGGGAAGGGUUAUUUGAUUAUCAGAGCGAAUUUUGCUGUUGUUGUUGUUGUUGUUGUUGUUGUUGUUGUUGUUGUUGUUUUUUAAGAGGCAACAGGAAUCAAAACAGGAAGCACGGGAAAAGCGGUUGGUCCUGCAGAAAUCAAGGGUGAGAAUUAUUAUUUACUUCCAUCAGAACUUCUCUUUACUCAACAGACAAAAGGCAAGGCUUUGUUUCACAUGCAAGGAACGUUGGACAAGCGGAAGUUCACCCAUUUCAGAGAUGCAGUUUGCAUCGUGGUAUCAUGGCAGCACAAGAGGUGUUGUGCUGAAUGGUUGUAGGGAGUCUGUCUGUCCAUCUUUCAGGCGAGAAGAAGGAUGAAGCUCUGAACCCUGGCCAGCCUUGCCCGCCCCUCCAAAUCUGCUAAGACGAUGCUCUUCACUAGAAAAAUCCCUCCACACUGGCAUGCCUCACUGUUCACAGUAAGGAGAGGAUUAAACAUGGAAGAGAAGGCAGGUGUUGAGUACCGCACCAGCUUGUCAAGAAACAAAGGAGACGACAUGAGGUCCCUAAGAGUUUUCAGACAGCAGAAUUACUGUGUGGUGCCAUCCAGAGAAUGCGAAAUGCUGUGUGUGCCUGCUCUUUCUCUCCUACUCAACUACUGAAGAAGCGCACGUGAACUUGGAGGUGGGAAGAAAUUCCAGUCGUGGGUUGCUCAGUUGGUGGGCAGAUUUCAAGGAUGGAGAACCCGCACUGCGUGUCUGGCUGGAGGCAGAGAGGAGAGGAAGCUCCCAGAGACCCUGUGCCUCAACACGGUGUGGGAAAAGGUAGGUGAAGCACGGCCAGGAAAAGAAAGAACAGCUGAAAAGGGUGAGAUGGGAAGGAGAGAACCAACUCCCGGAAGUGGGCUGCUUGCCUCCAAGCGCAUGCUCACAUUCGUACCCGUCCAGAAAAAUAAGUGUGAAUAAACAUUUGAUGGAAGGGCAGAAGAAUACUUUUGAGAGUCGGAUUUUCUGUUUGACGUUUGUAGUUAUGCAAAGAAAAUGUCGCUGGGGCAUUUUAGUAUAAGGGGCCAUCCUACCAAAGGAUUGGAGCCUCAGUGAUUGGAGGGUCUACUUCUAGAAGGAUUCCCAUUCCCAGGCUUUUCAAAAUGGCAUCAUUAGUGGAGACAUCUCAUCAUGUUCUAAAAUCUAUGAAGAGAAAGGACUGAAAUCCUAGGAGCUCUUGUGUGGCUUUGUGUCUCUGUUGAGGUGAUGCCCCGCUGGUGGCCUUUGGCCUGUGCCUCACCCACCACCCUGUAUUGUGUAUUGGAGGGAGUUGGGGGAGGGUGACUGUGGCGAGGGUGAAUCAUGACAUGGUGAGCAUACACGGAGGGGGAUUUUAAUGAGACAGCAUAGCGCUGAAAUAAUGUAUAUGCUAUUGACAUGUCUGUCUUACAUUAGAUACCUUUUUCUUUGAAUUAAAAGUAAUAUGAUGCAGUCUAUUAUCACUCUUAAAAGAAAAGGCAAACUUUCAUACGUAGGAAUUUAUUCAUUAGAUUAUCAUGUGUGUGAGAAAGAAUGUCUGUAUAUGUGCCUCGUGUGGGUGCAUUUGGGUGUGUCUAUGUGUGUGUAGACAUGUGGAUUUGUGUGCAAGUGGAGAUCAGAGGCCAAGUUCAAGUGCUAUUCCUCAGAUUCUGUCCACCUCUUUUGGAGAUAGUCACUCACUGACCUGACGUUGGCCAAUCGUCCAAGCCAACUGGCCAGCAAGCCUCCUCCAAAUCCUCCUGAUUCUGCAACCGGAGCUCUGAGAUAGCAUGGCCGUGCCACCAGACCCAGCCUCUUUGCAAGAGUUUUAGCAGUCAAAUCUGACAUUCCUUGGCUGCUGUCCAUCAACUAUUUUGAGACAGGUCUCAAAUUGACUGGAGCGUGGUAUGUAGGUAAGUAGGCUGAGCUAGUUUGCCACCAAGCCCCAGGGAUCCACCUGCCUUUGCCUUCCCGUUGUAUCCUAUGGAAGAGUCAAUGAAAUUUGUUCUCUGCAAGAAAAAGCCUUGCUACUCCAGAGUGUCUAUUUCUGGGAUGUUUCUUAGCUCCAGGUAAGGCUUCUGUCUACAGGAAAUCCCUUCUGACCAGACUUUAUCUUCCAUCCUCAGUUCAUUAAAAUACACGCAAUUCCUCCUUACUUCCUUGUUAUACUGCUGAUGUUCAUUUUAUUUCUGUUCUGUGGACCUAUGUGGGAAGUUGGUGAAGAACAAUACAAGGAUGGAGAAGCAAAGAGAGAUGUCGUUUUAGUCACCCAGAGCUACAUAAUUCAAAUCAAUCCCAAAUGGUAAAAGGAAGAAACAAGGGCUGAAUGGAAGGACCCAGUAAGUCCUCUUGGAAGAACAAAUGCACAGAAGGGAUAUUUCUAUACAGAAGCAUUCAUAAUCUACCCAGGCAUUCAGACAGGUAUGUAAUUAAGUAUGGGACCAGAAGACUGUGCUUUAAGAAGCCGGUGGGAGUAGAAAUUGCUAUUAAGUGGGAAAGUUCCCACGAAAAACUGCUGUUUUAAAUCACAAGGGAAGGAAAAGAUUUAGCACAAGACUGGAGGAAAAGCUGCAGAAACACUGUCGGAAGGAAGAAUGAGCAUGUGAGGACAAAGUGUUCUGUAGCCUUGAAUCAGUAGAGACCAGGUUCAAUGUCAAAAGGAUGCUAGAACCAAAGGAGAGGAGGAGAGUGAGCCUUGAGUCCUGAGCCCUGUCUUACUUACUGAGACCCAGGAAAUUCAUCUUGUCUUUCCAGAUAUGAAAUGAAUAAAUGUAACGGUUGGGUUCCUAUACCUUACCCAGGUCUAAAGAAAUCCAAUGAGUCCAGACUGAAGUUGGUUAUCCUAUACACAUAUGAAUGUUUUUUUUUUCAAUCUUAAAAUUUUAAAUUUAUUUGUUCAAAUCACAUAGGAAAGAGGAGUUCACGUGGAUUUAAUAGGACAAGGGCCAGUUCUGUCCUUGUGGCUACAUAGAUCCUGAGACUCAAACUCAAGGCAUCAAGCAGAACAGCAAGCAUCUUUUCCAUGAGUCAUCUUCCUUUCCCCAUCUUCUUUGCCUUUGAUUUAUAGUGAUAGUUUUCGCCAAUGCUACUGCCACCUCUGAUUACAAUAUAUGUCUCUUCUCUCAGUAUAUGUUAUAGCAAACAAACAUCCAAAAUAGCUAAAUAUUUGAGAUGGUGUUAUGGGGCUCCCUAGAGAAAGUACCUAAACAGAAAUCAGUUAGCUCAAGGCUGCCUAUGACUGCUUCAGCUGUUUGAACUCUUUCUUUUCUUCCCACAAUUCCCAAACAAGUGGCACCUAGUAGUUUCAUCUAUUGGUGCUAUUUUAGCCAAAUAGCAUAGGAUAGAUAGCUUAUAAACAAGAGAUAUUUAUCUCAUGUACCUCAGCAGGUUGGAAAAAUCCAAAAUAAAGGCACCCAUUAUCAGGUUCAAAGUCUGGUGAGAGCACCGCCUUUGUUUCCAAGUUAGUGCCUUGGUAUUGGGUCCUCAGAGGAAAGAAGCUUGGAAUCCUCAUGAAGGAGAAGCAAUAGAAGGGGACUGGUUAGUUCCUACUAGAUCAUGGAUAGACCCAUUAAACUCCUUCAAUGAAGACUCUACACUCGUGACUUAGUCAACUCCUAAGGAAAAUACCUCUUAAUAGCAUCACGUAUGAGGAGCCAUGCACGGGUCACAGUGUCUGCUUCUAAGUUCUCCAACUGCAGCAUGAACUUGUGAGAGGAAAUGGGUCACUGAGGUGAGAUUUGAGAUUUCAGGAGCCCACACCAGACCAGUGUCUUUCAGUCUGCCUGAAGAUCAGGAUGUACCUCUCAACUACUGCCCCAGCAUAAUACCUAUCCAAUUCCUACCACAGUGGUAAUAGAAUAAACCUCUGAAACUGUAAGCAAGCCUCCGGGAAAAUGUUUCCUUUUAGAAGUUGCCUUGGUCAUGGCACCUCGUCAUAGCAGUAAUAGUGACUGAGAUAGUCCUUAAACUCAAAAUCAUUUCUAUUACCACGCACUUGACUGGAGUCUUCUUGGAGACAGUCUGCUGGCCACCUUGUCAUUGUUCCCUGUGAGCACUAUGGCAUUCUGUUCUUUCUGCCUUUGCUUGGCUUUAUGCUAGCAUACAGAAUGAUGAAUGCUCAACUGGCAUAGUCAUUCAUCUUUCUCUUUUCCUCCUCCAGACUCCUCUCCUUCCCACCCCCUGUUCCCUCUCUCUCCUCAGUAGUGCCCUUGCUUUCCACCAAUAUGUCACAUAUAUUCUAUCACCUCUCUCUCUUAUCCCUCUACACUUCCUUAAGACUUCCUUUCCUUCUCUUAUUGUCCCCUUUCUAGUUUUAUGACCAAUACUCAACCACACCACACAUAUACACAAAAACUAAGAUCUAGGAUCCUAAUAUGAGAGAAAACUUUCUGGUUCUCGAAUUAGUGUUUCUUGGUGUUUGCCCAGAGGUGAGCCUAGAAGGACUUAAGAUAGAUAGUUUUUCUUGUGGAGAUUCUUUGUUUGGACUCAUAUUUGUGGGGCAGAAAUAUAGUCCAGGCUAAGAUGGCACAUUUAGGUUGAGUAUCAACCCAAAAGACAAUAUUUACUGACCAGAAAGCAUGGCUGUUCUCACCAUGACCAUCAUUUGUUGGGGAUUGGUUCUAAUGCUUUGUCUUGAUUUGGCCCCCAAAAUCACAUAGGAAUCUGCAUGUCCAGAUGCUGAGGGCCCCCAGUUGGUUUUUGAUUGAUCAAUAAAGAGCUAAUGGCUAAUGGCUGGGCAGAGUGAAAGAGAUGGGACUUUUAGGAUUCCUGCACAAGAAGUGCAGGAGAGAAGGAGAAGGGAUCCCACCAUGACAGAAUCACCAUGAUGGGGAAUCAGAGGGAUCAGACUUAAAAGCGCACUGAUAUGUAAGAGUCUGGAAAAGGGACUCCAGGGGCCACUCCCCCAAUUAGGUCUGGGGUAACAGAGAUCAAAUAUAGAUUUAGAAAGUAUUAACUCAGGAAUACCAGAGGUGAGUGUGUGCUAGCUGUGGAGAGGUUUGGAAGUGCCCAACCGUUGAGCUAGUAAGGCAGAUUAAAAAUAAUGCUACAUGUGGAUGUCUUUCAUUCGUUAAUACAGAACCCUUGGCCAAGCAGACUAACUAUUCACCACAACAGAUGGCACGCAACAUGGUAGGCAAGAACUCACCAUUAAAAAUUACUUAGAGAUUCUCAGAUGGAAUAUACACAUACACAUGUUGUGAUGUAAGAUUAGGAGUGGGGGAUAAUUGGCUUCUUAGCAGGCUACAGAUUUUGCCUGAGCCACUUGGGAAUUUCUUCCAGCAGUUUGGGACUAUACAAACAGUUUGGGCUCAGAGGCACUGGGAGCCCCUGCUGUGCAAAGAGACAGGCUGCUCAGAAGUCCAAGAGAGACAAACAGUAGAAGCUGCCUGCCUCUGGAAACCAGAUGAAGAAUAGAGAUGAAUGAAAUUUGAUUUAAUUGUUUUUAAGAAUAGAAGGGGGUAUAAUCAUAAUAGCUUACGUGGUUUUAAGUAUACAUGGAAUAAAGAAAUACAGGCCUUUGAUCUCAAUGUAGGAAACAAAGUCACACAGAUAGAAGGGAGAUUGAAUGAAAAAUAAAUGCUUUAAAACCAGGGGAAAUACUGGAAUUCUUUUGAACGUGGUCUACAUGGGAAUUCUGGGAUUGUUCAGCCUGUUAUGACCAAUUUAGAUCUGGGAAAUAGGUUUAUACAGUAAGUAGAAGGGAAUUUGAUAAAAGUUAAAUACAUAGAUGAAUAAAUAAUUGAGGCUUUUGAUUUUAAAUUAUAGGUCAAAGAGCAGAGGAUAAGUGGAAAACCCUUAUCCCAGACAGAUAGUAGAAACUUACAUUAAUUCAAGUUAUAUAAAGAGAAGUGGGACAUAUAUACCAACAGAUAGAUUAAUCUCCAUAGAAAGGAGAAUGUAAGUAUACAGAUGAAUAAAUAACUUAGGCCUUGAUCUCAUAUAGGUCAGGGCAGGAGAUGGUAGGGAAACACUAUCUCAACAGAUAAUAAUAUUUGUUUAGAUUUUUUAAUUGCCUCAAAUUGUUUUAAUUAUCAAAUUGCAUGUGGUUAUGAGUUUGGUGGUUAUAUUAAAAUUCCUCUGGGAGAGAGGUCAAGCUAUUAAAUUAAUCCAAUAUAUACCUUUAAUGAUUUCCGGUUACUGGACCAAAGAUAUACUGUUUUGGGAGAGGCUCUGUAUUGUUGUUGUUGUUGUUGUUGUUGUUGUUGUUGUUGUUGUUGUUUUGACAGAAAAGGAGAAAAGGCUUUGGAUCCCUUCCAGAGUGAUAUGGAUCAUAUUUGACAGGGGAAGACCCUCUAAAGAUCUUGGCUACAGAAAAAAAUUCAAAAUAUUCAAACAGGACAGAAUUCAACACUGGCAAUAUUCGCUGGGCUUGGAGAGCAAGAUUAACAACUAGCAAUCUAUCAUCUUAUAAACUGGCAGUUCCACACAACUGACUCUUUCCCAUUAGCUUCUCCAACACGAGAGGUGCUCCACAGACGGGGAACAAUGCACAUCUCUUGCCAUUGUUAGCAGCUUUUCAUCUUGUUGCAGUGGAGGCUGGGAGAGGCUGAAGAGUUAAUUUUAAUAAGACCAAUCAGCUCAUCUUGACAAUGGAGGGGAAGGAAAGGGGACAGGUAGAUGACUGUAUGUUUUGACAUUGGACCAUUAACAUGCAAAUCACAUGCAAAAUCAUAUGCUAACAACUUUGAGCCUUUGUUUGUGGUUGGACACUUUUCUCCCCCAAACGGACUAAAGCUCUGAUGCAAUUCUACACGGGAAGGCACUUUGUUAGACAUCUCAUGGGCUCAAAGACAAAUAGGAGAUGGUCUCUGAACAGUUGUCCUGACCUGUUUGGGAGAGCCAGGAUGCCUUUUGAUCUCACCUCAUUGCCUGUUCCUUCAAAAGAGAGCGUGAAGUGUGGCAGAGAACAGGAGUCUACAUAAGGCCCAGUGAUUAGGACGAAUGAGAGUGUAGGACAGCCUACACAGACAGCGUCCUUCAUGUCACCCAGAGACUGCUGCAGAGCUCCCAGGGACGAGCCGCAUUAAUUAUGGACUAAUGACGCAUUUGCAUGCACAUUUUUAAAAGCAGUAGUGAACAUAGCCCUAGUAAUUGAGGAUGAGUGAGGUAAGCUGCAUUAAAAUGCUCUGCUGAAUCUCAUCUCAUCCUUUUUUUUUUAAAGACCUCUGUCACCUUGGCACUCAGCAGCAUACAUGGGCAUCCACGCAGUCUGGAGCUUUAUGGUGGCUCUCUAUAGAUCUGGUCACUUUGGCCACCCACUUGAAACUGGUUUCCCUCUCUGCAACCGCUCACAAUCACAAAUGCAAGAUUCUGUAAGGGGUAAAAAUGCAAUAGGCUGACUUUUGGCAUAAGUAGGGAGAUGAUAUGAAACAGAAGGAAUCUUGAUGUUAGGAGAUAAGAAUCACAUAAUGAUACAGCCAUUCACAGUCUAGUACAGUCAAGUAUGAGUCUGAGUGACUCAGAAAUCACAGCCCAAAAGAUCAAUACGGGAAAAGGACUGGUCUCUAUGCAUGGAGCCAAGGAGAUCUCCAAACCACCGUGAUCUCAAAGUACACAGGUGAGCCUCCUCCGAAGAGGGCAUAGGCCCAAGUGAAGCCAUGCAUCCUGGACUCAGGGAUUUGGCCAGCCAUCACGUGGAAGAUAAAUGGCUGUGCAGGAAGUCCUUUCUGCAGAAUACUUUGGUGUUCUAGGCUGAUAAGAAAAUUGAUGUUGUGCGAAUCUUGAUGUGUAUCCUUCCUCUUUGUCUCUCCGCCCUUUCCUCCCCUCUCCCUCCUCUCCCUCUUUUUUCUCUCUUCCUUCCACACUCAUAACUAUGCAUACUCAUAAUUUUGGCAUCAAUGAUGCAUUUGAAGCAAAGGUGAACGUUGGCCCGUAGCCCAUUAGGGCCAUAGCUCUCACCCAGACGUCAUGCUCCUGUAACUCCUUGAAAGCACAACUUUUAAAAAAAUAAAAGCCUUCCUCUUGUGGAAUGAAAUAAAAUAUCAUUUAAGGAAA